rnacentral:rRNA from 1 species
GAUGAACGCUGGCGGCGUGCCUAAUACAUGCAAGUCGAGCGAAAGGACGAGGAGCUUGCUUCUCUGAUGUUAGCGGCGGACGUGUGAGUAACACGUGGAUAACCUACCUAUCAGACUGGGAUAACUUCGGGACACCGUAUCUAAUACCGGAUAAUCUUUUGCACCGCAUGGUUCAAAGGUGAAAGACGGUCUUGCUGUCUCUACUAGAUGGAUCCGGGCUGCAUUAGCUAGUUGGUAAGGUAACGGCUUACCAAGGCAACGAUGCGUAGACGACCUGUGAGGGUGAUAGCCGACCUGGGAGCGUGGCCAGGGACCAUGCGCCUACGGGAGGGAGCAGUAUGGAAUCGGCCGCAAUGGGGGAAAGCCUGGCGGAGCAGCGCCGCGUCAGUGAUGACGGUCUUCCGAUCGUAAAGCUGUGUUAUGAGGUAAGAACAGAUGUGGAAUGAACUGUGGACAUCUUGACGGUACCGGAUCAGAAAGCCCCGGCUAACUACGUG